rnacentral:lncRNA from 1 species
GCCCGGUUCGCACCGGGACAAAUACGGAACCAUUCGGUUCCGACCCAAUCGGUUCUAGUCGGCUCAGCAUUCCUUAGUUACAACAUAUAAAAAUCUUGAGCCAUAGCUCUUAUUUAGCAUGGGUAUCAUGUUGCCCAAGGUGACAACCCAAGAGGGGGGGUGAAUUGGGUUUUCUAAAAAUUAUGUUCCCUAAUUUUUACUUUGAAUAGAAUGCAGCGGAAUAAUAAGAUGUUAUUUACUUAAGCUCUAGGCAAUUACAAGUAAAACAGUGAAAAAUUAAGCUAGAGCAAUUAUACUAUGGCUUUAGGAUGCAAUUGAGCUAAAAUUAACUUUUAGUUGUAUGAUCAAUUUUAAUCUAUGUGUAUGGUAGG